rnacentral:rRNA from 1 species
GGAUUAGGCAUGCAAGUCGUACGAGAAAGGUUUCUUCGGAAUCCGAGUAAAGUGGCGAACGGGUGAGUAAUGCAUAGAUAACUCACCCUCGAGAUGGGAAUAACGUUCCGAAAGGGACGCUAAUACCCAAUAUUGUCUCAUGCUUGCGGGUGUGAGAUGAAAGGAGGCCUCUGAUUUAAGCUUCCGCUCGAGGAGAGGUUUAUGUCCUAUUAGCUUGUUGGUGAGGUAAAGGCUCACCAAGGCAUCGAUGGGUAGCCGACCUGAGAGGGUGACCGGCCACAUUGGGACUGAGACACUGCCCAAACUCCUACGGGAGGCUGCAGUCGAGAAUCUUCCGCAAUGCGCGCAAGCGUGACGGAGCGACGCCGCGUGAACGAUGAAGGCCUUCGGGUUGUAAAGUUCUGUCAGUUACUAGGAAUUGCAGGUGGUGAAUAGCUAUCCUGUUUGACUAUGUAGCAAAGGAAGCACCGGCUAAAUACGUGCCAGCAGCCGCGGUAACACGUAUGGUGCAAACGUUGUUCGGAAUCACUGGGCCUAAAGAGCGCGUAGGCGGCUUGGUAAGUUAGGUGUGAAAUCCCUCGGCUCAACCGGGGAACUGCACCUAAUACUGCCUGGCUAGAGUGCAGGAGGGGAGAGUGGAAUUCCUGGUGGAGCGGUGAAAUGCGUAGAUAUCAGGAGGAACGCCGGUGGCGAAAGCGACUCUCUGGCCUGCUACUGACGCUGAGGCGCGAAAGCUAGGGGAGCAAACGGGAUUAGAUACCCCGGUAGUCCUAGCCCUAAACGAUGGGCACUAAGUAGAGGGGUUUU